rnacentral:rRNA from 1 species
GACGAACGCUGGCGGCGUGCCUAAUACAUGCAAGUUGAGCGAUGAAGAUUGGUGCUUGCCCCAAUUUGAAGAGCAGCGAACGGGUGAGUAACGCGUGGGGAAUCUGCCUUUGAGCGGGGGACAACAUUUGGAAACGAAUGCUAAUACCGCAUAACAACUUUAAACAUAAGUUUUAAGUUUGAAAGAUGCAAUUGCAUCACUCAAAGAUGAUCCCGCGUUGUAUUAGCUAGUUGGUGAGGUAAAGGCUCACCAAGGCGAUGAUACAUAGCCGACCUGAGAGGGUGAUCGGCCACAUUGGGACUGAGACACGGCCCAAACUCCUACGGGAGGCAGCAGUAGGGAAGCUGCGGCAAUGGACGAAAGUCUGACCGAGCAACGCCGCGUGAGUGAAGAAGGUUUGCGGAUCGUAAAACUCUGUUGGUAGAGAAGAACGUUGGUGAGAGUGGAAAGCUCAUCAAGUGACGGUAACUACCCAGAAAGGGACGGCUAACUACG